AAAAUGAGAAAAAUUUGCGCUAAUGAUGCAAUUCCCAAGACGUGCAAGAGGAAAACUAUUAUAACUGUAGACCAAGAUUUGGGGGAAUUGGAACUAAACGAUGAAUCAAGUGAUUCAGAUGAGGAAAUGACUGCAGUGGCCUAAUUGUGAAAAAAAGUCAGUGAUGAUUGUUAUGUUGAUCUCCCACAAUUAAUUUAUCUUUUGACAAAGGGGAUAAAGAGUUUCAGUUUAGCUCCUUUUGAUUGUAUAUUAUUUUUUGCUUUUUUAUUGUGAAAAGAGGUUUUAUUUGUGGAGAGAGAAUUGAAGAUUAGAUAACCAGUGAU
rnacentral:lncRNA from 1 species